rnacentral:rRNA from 1 species
AUACGGAGGAUGCGAGCGUUAUCCGGAUUUAUUGGGUUUAAAGGGUGCGUAGGCGGUCGGGUAAGCGUAGGGUGAAAGUCCUCUGCUCAGCAGAGGAAGUGCCUUCCGAACUGUCCGACUGGAAUGCUCCUGCCGUGGGAGGAACGUGUGGUGUAGCGGUGAAAUGCAUAGAGAUCACACAGAACACCGAUUGCGAAGGCAUCUCACGAAGGGGCUAUUGACGCUGAGGCACGAAAGCGUGGGGAUCAAACAGGAUUAGAUACCCUGGUAGUCCACGCAGUAAACGAUGAUGACUAACCGUCGGUCAAGACUGAUCGGUGGCCAAGCGAAAGCGAUAAGUCAUCCACCUGGGGAGUACGACCGCAAGGUUGAAACUCAAAUGAAUUGACGGGG